rnacentral:rRNA from 14 species
GCGCGCUACACUGACAAAGACAUCAAGUUGCCCUGCGCCGGAAGGCGUGGGAAAUCUUUGAACCUUUGUCGUGAUGGGGACAGAUCUUUGCAAUUAUGGAUCUCCAACGAGGAAUGCCUAGUAAGCGCAAGUCAUCAGCUUGCGUUGAUUACGUCCCUGCCUUUUGUACACACCGCCCGUCGCUAGAACCGAUUGAAUGGUUUAGUGAGGUCUCCGGACUGUGCCUUUUGGAGUGUUUACAUUCCUUCGGGCGCGGAAAGUUGAACAAACUUGGUCAUUUAGAGGAUCUAAAAGUCGUAACAAGGUUUCCGUAGGUGAACCUGCGGAAGGAUCAUU